ensembl:lncRNA
CUUGACCAUGUGUGACUUGUCCCCAUCUCUGCAGUAUACUAAUAAAAUUCAGACUGAAUGAGAUUGCAUUUACCGCAGACAUCAAGAAGGCUUUCUUGCAGAUUUCCCUUGCUGAAAAGGACAGAGAUGCAGUGCGGUUCCUCUUGCUCACUGUACCACCACAUGAAGACACUGGAGAGGAGCUGCGUGUGCUGCGGAUGACGAGAGUGGGGUUUGGAGUGUCCCCCAGCCCAUUCCUCCUGGCAGCUACAGUGAGAAACCAUCUGGAGAAAUACAAAGACCAACUUCCUGAGGGAGAUUAUGUCUGCAGCUGGCAUGGACCUUUGCUAGUGGACAACCAACUGUGCUGCAUUAAAGGAGAAAUGGAAGACAACAAUGAGUGAACCUGCAGAGGAGACAGAAACACCUGGAUCAGUGCUGAAGGUUCUAGGCUUGGUAUGGAGAACUAAAACAGAUUAAUUUGUCUUUGACCUGACUGCUUUGCUGGAUGCUGUAGCUAAAAGAGAGAAUACUAAAAGAAGUGUUCUAAAGCUCUCUGCUCGCAUAUUCGACCCAAUAGGCUUUCUUACCCCAUUCACUGUGCGAGUGAAAUGCCUUUUCCAAGAGAUGUGGAUACGAGGCCUCGGCUGGGAUGAGGAGCUGCCCUCAGAUCUUACAAGAAUGGAGAGGAUGGUGUUCAGAACUUUCACAGAUCAACCACAUACGCCUUCCUCGUUGGAAUGGAAUACAAUCAGUGCACACGACGCACAUCAACUCCAUGUGUUUUGUGAUGCAAGCGAGAAUGCAUAUAGUACUGUCGCUUACCUGCUGCGAGUAGCUGAUGAUGGAGCAAAGAGCACAUGCCUUGUUGCUUCAAAGUCCAGGGUAGCCCCCCUGAAGAAGAUCUCACUGCCCCAUCUUGAGCUGAUGGGAGCAGUGAUUGGAGCAAGACUAGGAAACAGUCUGUUAAAGCCUCUGAAUAUAGAGCUACAUCAAGUUCAUAUGUGGACGGAUUCGAUGAUUGUGCUGCAGUGGAUUCACAGUCCAGCUCACAAAUGGAAACACUUUGUGUCAAAUCGAGUGUCAGAAAUCCAGGUCAGACUGCAGCUAACCUAAAAGACAGUGAACUGUGGUGGAAAGGACCUUCAUUUCUGACUGCUCCGAAUCUAGUGCAAGAGAGCGAUGAAGAUCAAAGUGAUGAAGAUAUGACCGGUGAGCUAAAGCAAGGUCAGCAAAUCAUAGUGCAGCUCUGUAGCGACAGUGAUGAAAGGGCAAUGGAACCUGUGCUGGAUUUACUGAAGUACAGUAAGCUGAAGCGAGUGCUGCGAGUCACCGCUUGGAUCAAGCGUUUUGUGCACAAUGCAAGUACAAGCUCCAAGAUGAGAGGCGAGUUGACUGCUGAUGAAAUGUUUGAGGCUGAGAAGUACUGGAUAAAGGUGACACAAGAUAGCAUCUUUCGUCAUGAAAUCAAUUUGCUCAAAAUUGGUAAGACCCUGAACGCAGAUUCAAAAAUCAGAGACCUAACACCUUUCCUUGACGGAGAUGAAUUGCUCUGUGUUGGAGGCAGACUGCAGCAGUCAGACUUUAGUUACAGAGAGAAACAUCCAUGGAUUCUGGCCAACAAAGACAGAUAUUGUGAGCUGCUGGUUCAGCACAAUCAUGAAUUCAUCAUGCAUUCUGGUCUGAGAGACACACUGGUACAAAUUAGAAGCAGAUACUGGAUUUUACGAGCCAGGCAAACUGUGAAAACUAUUCUGUCAAAAUGUAUUGUGUGCAAAAGAUUUAAAGCAAAGCCCGCACAGCAGGACACCGCUCCAUUACCACGCGACAGAAUAUCAGAGACCCCCCCCAUUUGAAGUGACUGGCAUAGACUUUGCAGGUCCACUGUAUGUGAGGAAUGAUCGUGCACUAUGCAAGGCUUAUGUUGCUCUGUUCACAUGUGCUGUCACCAGAGCAGUGCAUUUAGAGCUAGUUUCAAGUCAGUCAACUGAAAGUUUCUUGUUAGCACUCAAGCGAUUUGUUUUCAGAAGAUUGCUGUGCAAGGUCAUUUAUUCUGACAAUGCCAAAACUUUUAAGAGAGCAAACCAAGACCUUAGUGAGCUGUGGAAAGCCAUCAAAGAUCCACAAAUUCUGUAAUACUUCUCAGGGAAGGGAAUCACUUGGCGUUUCAUUGUAGAACGAGCAGCCUGGUGGGGCGGAUUUUGGGAGAGGCUUGUAAGGUCUGUGAAAGCGAGCCUAAGGAAGGUGCUAGGAAAGGCAUCACUCACCUUUGAAGAAAUGUGUACACUCCUUGCAGAAGCAGAGGCCACACUGAAUUCCAGACCCAUCGCCUUUGUCCACAAUGAGCUCGACGAGCCGCAGCCACUAACACCAGCACACUUCUUGGUGGGUGAACGACUCACUUCACUGCCUCCAAAACCAUUUCCACCAGACAAUGAUCAUCCCACAGUGAGUAAAGAUAAUAUGACAAAAAGGUGGAAAUACAGAAACCGACUCAUGACCAACCCGUGGAAUCACUGGAGGAAGGACUAUCUACUGGACCUUAAAUCUGCACAUUCCUGCAACACACAGAAACCUACUGAGUUGAAGAUGGGUGAUAUUGUUCUCAUAGGAGAUGCUAACAUGCCGAGACUAACUUGGAAAUUAGGAAAAAUUGAAGAGUUGUUUCCAGGCUGAGAUGGCAAGUUUAGAUCCUGUACUGUUCGUACAUCCUCAGGGACUGUGUUAAAGAGACCCAUUCAAUUGCUUUAUGCAUUAGAGAUUUGAGUUGAUGAACAGUUGUUCAUGGGGGGAGGAUGUUGUGAAUUAUUUAGAAUAAGAAAUGUUUAAUUAUCUUUAAUAAUAACAGAAACAGUUUGACAUUUUAAGGGGUUGUACACCUUUGAGAAAAGUCUACCCAUAAUGCUUACUGGGCGAGAGCGCUCAGAUAAAAAAGAGGAGAGAAAUUAUAUUAGAGUGAUUCCAUGUGUGUGCA